rnacentral:rRNA from 1 species
AAUUCGAAGCAACGCGAAGAACUUACCAGGCCUUGACAUGCAGAGAACUUUCCAGAGAUGGAUUGGUGCCUUCGGGAACUCUGACACAGGUGCUGCAUGGCUGUCGUCAGCCCGUGUCGUGAGAUGUUGGGUUAAGUCCCGUAACGAGCGCAACCCUUGUCCUUAGUUACCAGCACGCUAUGGUGGGCACUCUAAGGAGACUGCCGGUGACGAAACCGGAGGAAGGUGGGGAUGACGUCAAGUCAUCAUGGCCCUUACGGCCUGGGCUACACACGUGCUACAAUGGUCGGUACAAAGGGUUGCCAAGCCGCGAGGUGGAGCUAAAUCCCAUAAAACCGAUCGUAGUCCGGAUCGCAGUCUGCAACUCGACUGCGUGAAGUCGGAAUCGCUAGUAAUCGUGAAAUCAGAAUGUCACGGUGAAUACGUUCCCGGGCCUU